UCCAUUCAAAUUCUCUUCAUAUGUCUUGGUGUAUAUGACAAACCAUUAGUAGAGUCAGGGACAUUCAUCACAGCAUUUUUCUCGUAAUUGAGCUGAUCGACAAAAAAUUUGCACUUCACUCUUUCUCUUUUAGCAUUUUUCUUUCGCUCUAAUUAUUUUCCUCUUGCAUCACACCCUCCAUGACCUUUUCCAGCAAGGUACCAAACACACCCAAGAUUUUCUCUCUAGAACUCAGGACUCAAACAUUCGCCACACUCCUCCUCCCCCACGUUGUUCUCCACGACUGGGAGCUAAAUCUUGUCGUCAUCCUGGUGGCACGCGAGUACUUCAAGCUCGGGAAGCUUGAAGGGGAGAGCCAGCAACUCCCUUUACCGGGGACUUGCCUCUACCCGAGUAGUGGAAUAAAAGGCUUAGCGGCCCCUUUAAAUGUUACUCUCAAAAUGUAGAUCCCCUACUCUAGCACAAGUACGAAAUUGUCAAGAAGUUGCAAGACAGGAAGCACAUCUGUGGAAUGACUGGAGAUGGUGUCAACGAUGCUCCUGCUUUGAAGAAGGCCGAUAUCGGAAUCGCUAUUUCUGAUGCAACUGAUGCUGCAAGAAGUGCUUCUGAUAUUGUAUUGAUAGAACCUGGAUUGAGUGUUAUUAUUAGUGACAUCUUAACCAGCAGGGCUAUUUUCUAGAGAAUAUGCUGGAAACUGCAAGAAAUAUUUGCUACUGGAGUUGUGCUUGGGAGUUACUAGGCACUGAUGACUAUCAUAUUCUUCUAGGCAAUGAGAGAAACUGAUUUCUUCCCUGAAAAAUUCGGAGUUAGACACCUGACUCAUGAUGAAAUGAUGUUUGCUUUGUAUUUGCAAGUCAGGAGGAGAGGGAAGCUCAGUGGGCUCAUGCUCAGAGGACCCUGCAUGGACUUCAACCACCAGAAACUUCUAGCAUUUUCAUUGAGAAAAACAGUUACAGAGAACUCUCAGAGAUUGUUGAGCAGGCCCGGAAAAGAGCUGAAGUUGCAAGUUUCAAGAUGUCCAAUUUUAUGACCAACAGCGUUUCAAACAAUUUGUUUUCUAGAGUAAAAUAAGAAUGGAGGUAAUUUGUGAAAUGUUUCAUGUAAAGGGAGAACAAAAUGAUAAAAGGUGACAAGCUUCUAUACAGAUUAUAUCUAUAUUUUGCUUUUGUCUAUUGUUAGAAUUGGUUAAGAGGAAGUGGUCACAGAAUUGCAACUCCAAAGGAUGGAUGCAAAACUAAAUGCAGCAGGUUGGAUGUCAGAAAAGAUGGGAGGUCUAAGGUUGGCGAAUCUAUAUACUCUUGUGACCUACUGCAAGGGUGCAUUUGUAAAUAAUUCUUUGUUAUUAUAUCCAUCAUUGUCAUAUUAAAUGCUACUAGUAACAUUCAUUUUAUUUAUUGGAUUUAAAUACUAAUUGAAGUUUAGGAGAAUACAACAGAAUUAUUAUCUCAUUGAUUAAUUGAAGUAAUGAAGGAUGAUAGAAUAUGAAGAGU